rnacentral:lncRNA from 1 species
GUUGGCGAAGGCCCUUGGCCUUAAAGGUUGUUAUUUCGAACUUAUCAAAAUAGUAACCCUUCAUCGUUCGAUGGAGGUCGAACUAUUCUGUUCUUGGUGAAGGCCCUUAGCCUUAAAGGGUGUUAUUUUGAACUUAUCGAAAUAGUAACCUGUCAUCGUUCGAUCGAGGUCGAACUCUUCUUUUUUUGGCGAAGGCCCUUAGCCUUAAAGGGUGUUAUUUCAAAAUUGUCAAAAUAGUAACCCGUCAUCAUUCGAUCGAGGUUGAACUCUUCUCUUUAUGGCGAAGGCCCUUUGCCUUAAAGGGUGUUAUUUCGAACUUAUCGAAAUAGUAACCAGUCGUCAUUCGAUCGAGGUCAAACUCUUCUCUUUUUGGUGAAGGCCCUUGGCCUUAAAGGGUGUUAUUUUGAACUUAUCAAAAUAGUAACCCGUCGUCGUUCGAUCGAGGUCGAACUCUUCUCUUGUUGGCGAAGGCCCUUGGCCUUAAAGGGUGUUAUUUCGAACUUAUCAAAAUAGAAACCCGUCAUCAUUCGUUCGAGAUCAAACUCUUCUCUUUUUGGCGAAGGCCCUUGGCAUUAAAGGGAGUUAUUUCUAACUAAUCAAAGUAGUAACCCGUCGUCGUUCGAUCGAGGUCGAACUCUUCUCUUGUUGGCGAAGGCCCUUGGCCUUAAAUGGUAAUAUUUUGAAGUUAUCAAAAUAGUAAACCGCCGUCGUUCGAUCAAGGUCGAACUCUUCUCUUGUUGGCAAAGGACCUUGGCUUUAAAGGGUGUUAUUUCGAAAUUAUCGAAAUAGUAAUCCGUCAUCAUAUGAUCGAGAUCGAACUCUUAUCUUUUUGGCGAAGGCCCUUGGCCUUAAAAGGUGUUAUUUCGGACUUAUCGAAAUAGUAACCUAUUGUCGUUCGAUCGAAAUCGAUAUCUUCUCUUUUUGGCGAAGGCCCUUGGCCUUAAAGGGUGUUAUUGGGAACUUAUCAAAAUAGUUACCCGUCUUCGUUCGAUCGAGGUCAAACUCCUCUCAUUUUGGCGAAGGCCCUAGGCCUUAAAAGGUGUUAUUUCGAUGUUAUGGAAAUAGUAACCCGUCGUCGUUCUAUCGAGGCCGAACACUUCUCUUACUGGCAAAGGCCCUUGGCCUAAAAGGGUGUUAUUUCGAACUUAUCAAAAAGGUAACCCGUCAUCGUUCUUUCGACGUUGAACUCUUAUCUUUUUGGCGAAGGCCCUUAGCCUUAAAAGGUGUUAUUUCAAACUUGUCAAAUUAGUAACCCGUCGUCAUUCGAUCGAGGUCGAACUCUUCUAUUAAUGGAGAAGGCACUAUGCCUUAAAGGUUGUUAUUUCGAACUUAUCGAAAUAGUAACUCGUCGUCGUUCGAUCGAGGUCGAACUCUUCUCUUUUUGUUGAAGGCCCUUGGCCUUAAAGGAUGUUAUUUCGAACUUAUCGAAAUAGUAAGUCGUCAUCAUUCGAUCGAGGCCGAACUCUUCUCUUUUUGGCGAAGGCCCUUGGCCUUAAAGAGUGUUAUUUCGAAAUUAAAAAAUAGUAACAUGUCGUCAUUCGAUUGAGGUCGAACUCCUCUCCUACUCGCGAAGGCCCUUGGCCUCAAAGUGUGUUAUUUCGAACUUAUCGAAAUAGUAAGUC